AUAGUAGUAGUUCAGUCAGGUAGAAUGAUAGCUUUGGGAGCUAUUGGUCGGAGGUUCGAGUCCUCCCUACUAUA
rnacentral:tRNA from 1 species